AGCUCUACCCUCUUAGGUUCUCUUUGGUUUUAAUGUUUCUCAUUAAAAAUGAUGAAACAUGCGCUGCUGUUACUGAAUACUCAUCUUUCUCACCAACAGAAAACCUCAGUUGUUCUGGUCAUGAAACACUUGAUGUGAUGGCAGGUUUUGGUUUUUUCCAGCGUGAGCAGGGCAUGGCUGACUCAAGCAAGGACAUCCAGGAUCUACACAGAUCUCCAUCAUUGCUGACACUGCUUGGAUUUUACAUAUGCACCAAACCCAGGCUUCAGUGUGGAAAUACCAUGUGAGUGAACACUACAGCUGUGGGGCAUACAAAGUUUUCAGUCAGAUUGUGUGGAGCAGACUGUCAUAUCCCAUAGUGGCCAUAAUUCCACAUUGCAGACAACAGUGGUGCAGUAGCUGGCACAAGAGGACAUAAGUCUCAGAGGAGAAUCUCCCCAAGAUGUGGUGCAUCACUUAACAGGAGAGAACCUGAGAUUCAUUUGGCAGGGGAAAGCUUAUACCAGCACUUCCCUGACCCCUGAGCAGAUGAAGGAAGACCUCGAGAUGUUCACAGCACUGCUUGAGUUCACCUUAUAAAGCAAACUCCUCAGGAACUGGGUCUGGAAACCGACACCUCCUUCACAGGAGCUUUCCCAGAGCACAGAAAAGUGGUAAUAAAUUAAAGAUGUAACAUUGUUUUAAAAGAGAGAGGGAGUUGUAGCUGACAAAGCACAGCAUUUUGACCAUACGGCUUUGCCUACAGUCACUUGGCACGCCACUUGACUGGGGCAGCACAGCAUUUAAUUUUAAAAAAAGGCAAGGAGAGAGAUCCACAACCACAAUUCUCCGUGCCUAGAUGUUGCAAAUUAUUUAUAUAUUCUUUUGUGGAACCUGACAUCCUCAGCCUGCAAAGAGAACACUUAACUGGCUUGAUUUGUUGAAACAGUGUAGUGUUAGUAGAGCAUUACAUAAAUAUGAAGUAAGUAGCUCUCCUAAACUAAGUGUAUCUUGAAAGACAGUAUUAAACUGAGGAUUGCCAAUUCCCAGCUGAAAUGCAAACCAUUUCUAACUUCAGCUGAUGCAGUUCAGUUCCAUUCCUUACUGUUUCAACCCAGCAGGAAAGAAAUGUAAUUUCAGACAAUAGGGACAAAUUCAUAGUUGAGGAAAAUAAGUAUGCAGCAUCGUGGAUGCUCUGCUCUGCCUUUCUAAGCAUCCACUAAGAUUUGUAGUUCCAAAUACAGUGGAACAAAUAAAGAGCCCUUCUUGCUUUCUGCUUUCUGAACAGUGGAAGGUCUGGCUUCCACAUGUUCCUGUAUCAACUGGGAAAAGUUGUAGGUUAUUUUGUUUGUGAUUUUUUUGGUUUUUGGUUGUUUUUUGGUGUUUUUUUUUUUGUGGGACAAAAACUGUACUCCAAAAAGAGUGUUUUACACAGUUAUCGUCUCUGUCUGUUGCAAAAAGGUCCAAAAGAUGAAAUAAAACUUCCAUGAGGUGAGCAAGAACACCUUUUUGUUAUGGGUUUUGGCAAAUUGUCUCUUCCAACCCAACUUUCUGUUUCAAGCAUGGGUGCUGCAGACCCUUCCCGAGCUGUGAGCCCUCCCAGCGAGUGUGUUCCCUGCAGCUCUCUGGAAAGGUGGGGUCCAUAGAGCUGAGAGGAAAAGGCUGUGCAGGCUCAGCCUGGCAUUUCACAGGACGUUUACUGAGCAUGUUGGAAGCAGCGCCACAGAGGGAACCCCAUUCCCAUUGUGCAGGUGUAAUCCUUCCCAUUUUUCCCCCUCUUCUCAUGAUACCUUUACUGCCCUGUAUCCCUUCUCCAACCCCAAGCCCGUCUUCAUUACUAAAACCACUCCUCUGAUCCUCAGCAAGCUCUGUCAUUACCAAAUCAAUCUUCCUAAUCCAAAAUAGUUUUCCCAAGCUCAUUUGGUGUAGCCACAGAAUGCUUCCUGAUCUCUGAAAAAAGCUGAUUUAAAGAACACAGACAGAACAGAGGCAUUUAUAAAUGAGAAAAUUUAGUCCAUACUUCAAAACCUAAGAAAUUUGUUUCCUGACCUUAAUCAAGGCCCCUUUCAUUACUCAGACAGGUAUAGAUCAGUUUAACAAUCCCCAUGACUUUCUCAGUAAAGAGUAUUUGAUUUUGCCACAGCUGAUCAUCAGCCUUUGGUGUUUAGUGUCACAGCUUUUGGACUUUUCUAGGUCACCUCAGUGUUAUUAGCAAUUCUGAAGAAAUCUGUCAUCCCAUACCUUUUUAGACAGCAAUUUUAUUUGAAGUGUUUCUUAAUUUGCUUUAUUUGUACCUCUGGUAACUUUAUUUCAACUUC